rnacentral:tRNA from 1 species
UGCCCCAUGGCUGAGUUGGUUACAGCGUCCGACUGUUACUUAUAGCACAUCGGAAGGUCGUGAGUUCGAGCCUCACUGGGGCAG